GAGUUUGAUCCUGGCUCAAGAUGAACGCUGGCGGCGUGCCUAAUACAUGCAAGUCGAACGAUGAAGCUUCUAGCUUGCUAGAAGUGGAUUAGUGGCGCACGGGUGAGUAAUGCAUAGGUUAUGUGCCCUUUAGUCUGGGAUAGCCACUGGAAACGGUGAUUAAUACUGGAUACUCCCUACGGGGGAAAGGGGCUUUCAAUAAAGAAUUUCUCUUUUUAGUGUUUUGUGUUGUUGGCACAAAAUUCUAGUAUUUGGAAUGAGAAAUUGAUGUUGUGAAGCAAUUUGUGCGGAGACUAGACUUAGUGUCUGUCGCACAAGCAAAUUGCGAACUCAUCGAUUUAUCGUCCAAAGACGAAUUUUUUAUUGAAAGCCUUCGCUAAAGGAUCAGCCUAUGUCCCAUCAGCUUGUUGGUGAGGUAAUGGCUCACCAAGGCUAUGACGGGUAUCCGGCCUGAGAGGGUGAUCGGACACACUGGAACUGAGACACGGUCCAGACUCCUACGGGAGGCAGCAGUAGGGAAUAUUGCUCAAUGGGGGAAACCCUGAAGCAGCAACGCCGCGUGGAGGAUGAAGGUUUUAGGAUUGUAAACUCCUUUUGUAAGAGAAGAUUAUGACGGUAUCUUACGAAUAAGCACCGGCUAACUCCGUGCCAGCAGCCGCGGUUAUACGGAGGGUGCAAGCGUUACUCGGAAUCACUGGGCGUAAAGAGCGCGUAGGCGGGUGGUCAAGUCAGAUGUGAAAUCCUGUAG
rnacentral:rRNA from 1 species